rnacentral:rRNA from 1 species
AUUGAACGCUGGCGGCAGGCUUAACACAUGCAAGUCGAGCGGGGGAGGUUGCUUCGGUAACUGACCUAGCGGCGGACGGGUGAGUAAUGCUUAGGAAUCUGCCUAUUAGUGGGGGACAACAUUCCGAAAGGAAUGCUAAUACCGCAUACGCCCUACGGGGGAAAGCAGGGGAUCUUCGGACCUUGCGCUAAUAGAUGAGCCUAAGUCGGAUUAGCUAGUUGGUGGGGUAAAGGCCUACCAAGGCGACGAUCUGUAGCGGGUCUGAGAGGAUGAUCCGCCACACUGGGACUGAGACACGGCCCAGACUCCUACGGGAGGCAGCAGUGGGGAAUAUUGGACAAUGGGCGGAAGCCUGAUCCAGCCAUGCCGCGUGUGUGAAGAAGGCCUUUUGGUUGUAAAGCACUUUAAGCGAGGAGGAGGCUCUUAAGGUUAAUAUCCUUGAUGAGUGGACGUUACUCGCAGAAUAAGCACCGGCUAACUCUGUGCCAGCCGCCGCGGUAAUAC